GGGUGCUAUCAUAUCAGCACUAAUGCACUAUGCACCGGAUCCAUUAAAACUCUAUUGUUAAGCAUGCUUCUACGAGAGUAGUACUAGGAUGAGUGACUUCCUAGAAGACCUCAUGUUACACCUC
rnacentral:rRNA from 1 species